rnacentral:lncRNA from 1 species
CCCGGGAAACUCUCUCCAACAACAUUGUGUUUUUGUUUUCACUUUUGUUUUUCAAUGCCCAGUUCUUGGCAAGCUCUCACCUUUCUGUUCUGAGUCUUUGCACCUGUGCUUUUCUCUGCCUGGUAUUUCAUCUAGAUUCCUAGCCUUUCUGAUGCAUCCUAAGUCUCCGGUCAAGCCAUAUUUCCUCUGCGUGGCCUUUGCUGACUUCCCUGACCACCUCAGGUGCCCUCCUUACAACUUGUCCUAGCACUGUCUUCCUCCCCUUAACAUUUUCCACAGCUGAAACUUUCUUUUUCUUUCUUUCUUUCUUUCUUUCUUUCUUUUUCUUUCUUUCUUUCUUUUCUUUCUUCUUUUUUUUUUGAGACGGAGUCUUUCUCUGUCACCCAGUCUGGAGUGCAGUGGUACAAUCUUGGUUCACUGCAACCUCCGCCUCCUGGGUUCAAGUGAUUCUCAUGCCUCAGACCUCCCUAGUAGCUGGGAUUACAGGUGUGCACCAUCACACCCAGCUAAUUUUUGUAUUUUUAGUAGAGAUGGGGUUUCACCAUGUUGGCCAGGCUGGUCUCGAACUCCCAACCUCAGGUGAUUCAUCUGUCUUGGCCUCCCAAAGUGCUGGGAUUACAGGCGUGAGCCACCAUGCCCGGCCACAGCUGAAACUUUUACAGCAUCCAGUGUGAAUAUUUGGUUUGUAUUUGUAAUGAACAAAGUUGAUGUUCUGCCCACAUCCAGAUCUCUCCAUGCCAUGCCUUUUGGUGAAUGCCUUUUGUGAAUUCCUUCCCCCUGUCUGCCUGGCUUCUUCCAGAUUUCCUUCCUACUAGCUGGCACCUGCAGCUCUUCCUUAGAGGACCGUUCUUGGGCACUGGAAGCCCACUUUGCUUACCUCUGCAGAGGCCAAGAAGAGCCUGGGAGCUCACAUUGUCCCAGGGCAGCUCUCAACCCAGGAGGACGCAUGUGGCCCUGGACAGGACCAGAAUAAUCCAGGGAAAGCUGGGUGGUCUGGAUGUUCUGCAGAGCAUCAUGCUGACCAAGUGUAUUCAUGGACCACGUUAAUUGGAUCUGAUGAGCAGGAAGUGGCAAGAAUUUUGAGUGACCUGGAAUACAUGCUCCAGAGGGUGAGAGACGACCUCUGCAGAAUGUUCGAAUCCUGCCACGUUGGUAAAAUGAUGAGUGGUCUAAGGCACGUCUACGCUGUUGAAACUUUCCCUACAAGCUGUGGCCCUGGGAAGGAGGCUCUGCACCUGUUUUUUCAUCUAUGACAGGCGGGUAAACCACCUACCUCAGAAGGAGUUGUAAGUAAAUAACUAAAAGAUGUUUAACAUCGGUCCUGGCGUGGACUAAGUGCUCACUAAAUGGAGUCUCUUAUUAUUGUUGCUGUGGCUAUUAAUAUUAAUAGAGAAGGGUAAUUCUCCAUUCACACUGAGAGAGAAGAGUUUCUUUCAUCAGACCUUCGAGUUUCUGUAAGACCACGAGAAGAUAGGCUGGGGUAUACAGGCAACUUCUGUCGACAAUGGGGUGGGAGCAGAAGAGCAGCAGAGUGGAGCCCCUACCCAUCGUGGUGUCAAUCAUUCUGUGCCAUAGCUGCCCCCUUCUCUACCUCUGCCCUCUGACUGUGAGCACCUUGAGGUCUCGGCCAUUAUUCCAUCUUUUGCAUGUUGCACCAGGCCAGGCACGCAGCAG